AUGUGGGCCCCCCACCCCCGCCCGGCGCCCGGCAUUCCGGAGUGGGGGGGGGGGGCACUGCGCGCGGACGGAGCAGAGGGACCGGCCGCCCGGGGCACCGCAAACGGGGACCCAGGCCCACAGCUACUCCAGACUUUCUCUGAGAGGCCCGGUGGCCCCGGGCUUCUCCUUGCACCGACCCAGCUCGUGGCUGGGAGAGGCAACGCCUGGCCCGGCCCCCUGAGUCCGGACGGAUUUUUCCUGCCCCUCGUAAGGGCGUCCAGGACAGCGGCGCGGGCUGCGCGGGGUCAGGGCGCGCUCGCCUCCCGGAGCCCCCGGCCCGCCAGGGGGCGCUACGCCAGGGGGCUGGAGGUGGGACCCGCCGCUGCCUCCCGCGCCGUGGGACUUGGAGCAAGUCCCCUCCUCUUCCUGGGCCCGGGUGUCCCCGUCUGGGCGUGGGAUGAGGCGCAGAGUAAGCGCCCUCUCGGUGCGGAUCGUUCUAGAGGACGUCGCUUGCCGCGGUCAGGCCCGAACUGCUCGACCCUCCGCUCCGGACCAGCGCGGAGCCCCCUUGGGGCCAGGCGCGCAGGGGGCCUGUGUCAAGGCGCAGUCCUCGGGAGACACGAGCUGUCCCUCCUCCCCCCGCUGCGGCCAAGGCCCAGGCUACCCCGCUGGCAGCUGGCGAGAGAGGUGGCCGCCCGGGCUGUGCACCGUGAGCUCGGCAGCCGCACCCCGCUCAACAGGUGGCUGUACGGCUCGGGCUCUGAAAGUCCUCGGAAACGCCGCAGCGAGGGCGGCCGAGUCCGAGUCCAGCCGGCGGGGCCGCGCCGGGCCUCCCGUCCUGGGACGAACGCGCGCUGGGCCGGGAGCGGGCACCGCGCUCGGGGCAGCGUCCACGCCGCGCGCAAGGUCGGCGCGGGCCGGGCCUGCAGCCUCGGGCCGCGCAGCUGGCAGGGCCGACCCUGCGAGCCGGGGACGCCGAGCGACCGCUUCAAGGUUACCUGCGACGCGAGGCUAGGCCGGGCCCACAACCCGGCUUUGACCCCAGCCGGGAGUCUUGCGAAAUCUGCCUGCUCCGCUGCGAACGAUGCGCCGGGUGACCCGCGAGACGGGUUAUUUUGGAAGUGGGAAGGGUGGGGUGGGAGAAGCCAGGGCACCUCCCGCCACCCCUCUGGAGCCGCACCCUGGGAGCCUGAGCACCCUCGGGGGCAUGGAGACACCUCCGCACUAGGAGGUGGGCAAUGUGGGGCUCCUGCGCGGGCUCAGCCAGAUGUUCGCGGCGGCUCCAGAUGUGCCUCCGGUCCCGGGACAGGACUCUCCUCCUCCCCACCCCCCAGCCCGGAGCUCAGUUCCGUUUGGGAGGAAGCUGUGCUGUUCCGGAAGAGACGCCAGGCCUUCCCAGUCUCCGGUUUAAGGCUGUCUUCCAGGAUCUGCUGUCAAGGCUUAUUCCUCAGGGAAUAGCUGUUGGCAAAAGGAGCCUUUCCGGGCCCAGAGCUGGUCUCCGCACCGAGGUGGCCCCAGGGACGUGGAGGAGAGCAGGCAAGCUGCGUGUGGACGGCCGGCUCCCAGCACGCUCUGCGCCGGGGCAAAGGCCGUGGGCUCCGCCACAGACACCCUGCCAGGCUGGGACGGCCACCAUCCACCCGACAGAUGGCCAGGAGGAGGUGCCAGGUCACACAGCCCCCGAACGGCCGAACUGGGGCUCCAGCCCACCUCUGCCGGAGCCCACACUUUCCCUACAGUGGGCCGGGACGUUCCCAGAACACCAAGAUGGUGUAUACUGUGGAUUUAAAGCCUCAUGAACGGCGAGGGCCUGUGGGCUGCCCCGGGGUUUCAGGAACCGAGGCCACCUUGGCCACUAACUCACUCCUCCAUCUUGACGACGCAGCAGAUUUUACAUUUACAAAACGUGGAUCGUCCUCUCGACUGCAGGUGAGGGAAUAGCGUGCGCCCUCGUGGCGUCCUCAGCUGUGCCGGGAACACACCCUGGGAGCCCGACGGCUGCUGGAGAUGGUCUCUGGGCCACCCGUUAGCCUGAGAUUCCAGGGCUCUGCCGCUUGCUAGCUGCGGGACCGGCAAGUAACUCCACCUCUCUGGCCUCCAUCCCCUCACCCGCGAAAUGGGGAUAAGAUCGCUUCCGCUCUCAUGGAGUGCUGAACUUAAGUGAGUUAAUAUUUGUAAAGGGCUCCGAAGGACGGCUGGCAUAGGGUGCACACCGCGUGUGUGCCAGCGCACGGUGGGCUGUCCCGGGAGACUGGCGUUAGAAUUGUCCCUGAAGUGCAGGUGUGGAAACGGAGGCAGCAGUACAGUGACUCUCAAACUUAGCGUGAAUCGGAAUCACCCGGAGGGUUCGUGCAAAUGCUAAACACUGGGCUGGGGCCUGAGAGUGUGCAGUUCUCGCGUGUUUCCAGGAGGGGCUGGUGCUGCGGGUCCAGCGGCCGCGCCGUGAAAGCCUGCGCUGGGGCUCUAGUGCGCUGGGCCCGCCGCGCAGCAGCUCCACGAGUGAUCUGGCGUGAGUGAGCGAGCGGUUACAGAGAACAGGCCGGGCGGAGGGCCAGGAGCCUUGGGGUUCUAGUCCUGAAUUUGCUCCUAACUCCCUGGGGGACUUAACCGAGUCCUCUUUCCCCUGCAGCCUUGGUUUUCUCCUGGGGACCUCAGGGGUGACGGUAAUCCCGGCUCACAGGGCUCUGUGAGGAAGAAACAGGGCCUGGUGUCACUGUGACACUCGCUGCAGGAAUGGUGAGAGGGGUCUAGGAGGAGGUGUGGGACCCCAGGGGCUCACUACCAUCCUUCCCUGCCUGCCUUCUCCUCUCCCCACACCGAGGGCUGUAGCUCAUCCCCUUUACUUCUUUCUGGAAGCUGAGUUGGGAAGACGGAGGCCACACUGUCCCCCACUGUCCCCCACGCCCCAGGGCGGCUCGGCAGAGGGCAGCGUGCUUGCUGUGGCCGCAGGCUGCAUAAAGGGGCCUGUGUUCCGGCCGCUCACCUCCCACUGUGCGCCCAGUGGUUUUCUAUUUCAGUUGCUGUAAAAAUAUCACCUUUGAUCUCAGCUUGUGGCUCUUAAAAAAAGAAGGAACCACCAACAGGCUGGGUUUUCAUUCUCCCGGGCCCCUUCUCCCUCUCACCUCCGCUCCUCACUCACCUCCUCACCUCUCUUUUGCUCCCCAUGCAUCCUCUCCUCUCUGGAGCACCAGCACCCUAGCUGGACAGAGCACCUUAGCAAUCAGCCCAUGGUUCUGAGUGCUCCCCCCAACCGCCACCCCCACCCCCAGCAAGUCCCUGUCCCCAGCUGUUUGCUGGAGGGACAGGGUAAAAGGCUGUGUGUGAAGGAGACUGCCCCUUCCCCUCUGCUCCUGCUGCCAACAAUGUCCACGAUUCCCUGUUUGGCCAGGCCCAGGCUGCUUCUCCAGCCACACUGUCAAACACAUAGUAUGAAUCACAGCCCUGCUGGGGUUUUCCCCACAGUAGAGUGAGAACAACUAGCGGGGCCAGAAUAUUUAUAUCGCACCAUCUACUCAGCCCAGACAGUCACCCAGAUUUGCCUGGAAGAGUAACCCUCAGGCCUGAUGGAUCUAAUAUCCCACCUCCGGGCUCAGCCAGCACAAAGACACCCCCCCCCACACACACACACAUACACCCUUGCCUCUUUCCUCUCUACAAACUUGGGCAUUUGUACCCACAGUUCACCAUCCAUGUUCAUCCCCCAGACUCUGGCCUCUACUCUGGCCUUCCUGAGGAGCCCUUCUCCGACCUCAUUGGUAGGAGCACGCAUGUGUACAAGGGGCAGACGACUGGGAUGGCAGGGAGUGCAGGAGCUGGUGGCACUGGCAUUGAGUGGGUGGUGCUGGAGCAGAAAGGGCAAAGGUUGGAAUUUACAGGAACCUGGGGCAUCCUCGAUAGCAUGGGCAGCUUUGGAUGUAGCCAUGGCCUGGGUGUUCAAAGCGAG
rnacentral:lncRNA from 1 species